rnacentral:lncRNA from 1 species
UUUUUACAAUGUAUUUUUAUUUUGUUUUGUUUGUAUUUUCUUUUUAUUUUUUCAUUAUUCCAAAGUAUUAUAACUGUGGUGGGCAAAUUUCGUAUAGCCCGUUUGAAUAAAUAUUCGCGGCCCAAACAUCUAGCCCGGUACUUUAGGUCAUUAAGGCCCAUCGACCCAAACCCUAGAAAAGGCAGCAACUUGGGGGAGAAGGCAAG